rnacentral:rRNA from 1 species
UACAGAGGGUGCAAGCGUUGUUCGGAAUUACUGGGCGUAAAGCGCUUGUAGGCGGCUUCGUAAGUCGGAUGUGAAAGCCCUCGGCUCAACCGAGGAAGUGCAUCUGAUACUGCGAAGCUUGAGUGUCGGAGGGGGUGGCGGAAUUCCCGGUGUAGAGGUGAAAUUCGUAGAUAUCGGGAGGAACACCUGUGGCGAAGGCGGCCACCUGGACGACAACUGACUCUGAGACGCGAAAGCGUGGGUAGCAAACAGG